rnacentral:rRNA from 1 species
CCUACGGGUGGCAGCAGUGAGGAAUAUUGGUCAAUGGGCGCGAGCCUGAACCAGCCAAGUAGCGUGAAGGAUGACUGCCCUACGGGUUGUAAACUUCUUUUAUAAAGGAAUAAAGUGAGGCACGUGUGCCUUUUUGUAUGUACGGUAUGAAUAAGGAUCGGCUAACUCCGUGCCAGCAGCCGCGGUAAGACGGAGGGUCCGAGCGUUAUCCGGAUUUAUUGGGGUUAAAGGGAGCGUAGAUGGGUUGUUAAGUCAGUUGUGAAAGUUUGCGGCUCAACCGUAAAAUUGCAAUUGAUACUGGCAUUCUUGUGUACAGUUGAGGUAGGCGGCCUUCGUGGUGUAGCGGU